UACGUAGGGGGCAAGCGUUGUCCGGAUUUAUUGGGCGUAAAGAGCGUGUAGGCGGCUUUACAGGUCCGUUGUGAAAACUCGAGGUUCAACCUCGAGACGCCGGUGGAAACCGUAAAGCUAGAGUCCGGAAGAGGAGAGUGGAAUUCCUGGUGUAGCGGUGAAAUGCGCAGAUAUCAGGAGGAACACCCGUGGCGAAAGCGGCUCUCUGGGACGGUACUGACGCUGAGACGCGAAAGCGUGGGGAGCAAACAGG
rnacentral:rRNA from 1 species